rnacentral:rRNA from 1 species
UACGUAGGGUGCAAGCGUUAAUCGGAAUUACUGGGCGUAAAGCGUGCGCAGGCGGUUUGUAAGUCUGAACGUGAAAUCCCCGGGCUUAACCUGGGAAUUGCGUUGGAGACUGCAAGGCUGGAAUCUGGCAGAGGGGGGUAGAAUUCCACGUGUAGCAGUGAAAUGCGUAGAGAUGUGGAGGAACACCGAUGGCGAAGGCAGCCCCUGGGUCAAGAUUGACGCUCAUGCACGAAAGCGUGGGGAGCAAACAGG